GCGAAGUUCGUAUAGUGGUAAUACCUCAGCCUUCCAAGCUGAAGCGAGGGGUUCGAUUCCCCUACUUCGCC
rnacentral:tRNA from 1 species